rnacentral:pre_miRNA from 1 species
AGUUUAUCCAGGAAAGCUAUCGGACUUUAAGUAUAGAACCGAGCUGCCCUAGGAUAGACUCU